UACGUAGGGGGCAAGCGUUGUCCGGAAUCAUUGGGCGUAAAGAGCUCGUAGGCGGUUCGGCAAGUCGGGUGUGAAACCUCCAGGCUCAACCUGGAGACGCCACCCCGAUACUGCUGUGACUUGAGUCCGGUAGGGGACCACGGAAUUCCUGGUGUAGCGGUGAAAUGCGCAGAUAUCAGGAGGAACACCGGUGGCGAAGGCGGUGGUCUGGGCCGGCACUGACGCUGAGGAGCGAAAGCGUGGGGAGCGAACAGG
rnacentral:rRNA from 1 species